UACGUAGGGGGCAAGCGUUGUCCGGAAUCAUUGGGCGUAAAGCGCGUGUAGGCGGCUCGGUAAGUCUGCUGUGAAAGUCCAGGGCUCAACCCUGGGAUGCCGGUGGAUACUGUCGAGCUCGAGUCCGGAAGAGGCGAGUGGAAUUCCUGGUGUAGCGGUGAAAUGCGCAGAUAUCAGGAGGAACACCAAUGGCGAAGGCCGCUCGCUGGGACGUGACUGACGCUGAGACGCGAAAGCGUGGGGAGCAAACAGG
rnacentral:rRNA from 1 species